UGAAAAAUAUUAAAUAUUCUUAAAAAGGAUAACUAGAAACACAAUUAUUUAAUAGUUUACACUUUAUCAUAAGUGAGGUUAAGAAUUGGUGCGUAGCUAUUUAUAGUAAGAUAUUCGUACAUGCUUAUUUUAUAAGUUAAACCUUUGACCUUAUGGUUAUUUGUUAUGUUUUGAAUUGAAACAUCUUAUUAAAAAUUAUAGAAAAAAUCAACCGAGAUUCCAUUAGUAUUGGCGAAAGAAUAUGGAUAAGACUUUUUAGAAUAAAUUAUAUAUAAUUUUUAACGGUUAUAUUAUUGGUAUUAUUCCGAUUAUAUUAUUUAUUUUAAAUAAAUUAAAAGUAGAUAGUUUCAAAAUUAUUGAAUAUAGGGGCAUCACCCUCUAAGUCUAAAUAUGGUUGUGUUAUCAAUAGUGGAAAGUACCGUGAGGGAAAGUAUAAAUAUUAAAUGAAUAUUUAUUUUUGAAAUUUUAAGAAUUUACCGUUAUUUAAAAGGUGUACCUUUUGCAUAAUGAGCCGGGGAGUUUUAUUAUAUAGCAAGUUUUAUAAUAUGUAGACUUAUAAAGUUAUUUAAUAAAGACCCGAAACUAAGUGAUCUAACCAUGAGCAGGUUGAAGUAAUUAGAAUUAUGGAGGACCGAACUCGUACAUGUUGCAAUAUGUUGGGAUGACUUGUGGUUAGGGGUGAAAGGCCAAUCAAACUUAGAUAUAGCUGGUUUUCUGCGAAAUUUAUAUUAGUAAAGCGAUAAUAUCAUAAGGAAGGUAUAGUAACAGCCUGAUCUCAGUGGAAUUUUUCUGAAUUUUCUUGUUAUUAGGUUAACUAAAAAUGUUCGUAUAUUAUUAGUGAGACAUUUAAUGGCAAAGUUAUAUGUCAAAAGGGAAACAGCCCAGAACGUAGAUUAAUGUCUUAAAAUAUAAUCUAAGUGAAAAGAAUUAUAUAUUUGUUAAUGAGGUAAGCUUGGAAGCGGCUAUCCUUUAAAGAAAGCGUAAAAGCUCAAUUAAUAUAUAUAUGGUUUAAAAAUAUAUAGAGGCUAAGAUUAUUACAGAAAUUACGUUAAUAUUUUUUAUUAGGUAGCAGAACAUUUUGUAUGUCGUAGAAGAUGUGUUGUAAAACAUGUUGGAGAUAUCAUUAUAGUGGAUCCCGGUAUGAGUAUCAUAAAAUAAAGUUUAAAUCUUUAUGACUGUAAACUUAAGGUUUUCAUUUCUUAGGAUUAUCCGAAAUGAGUUAGUCGGUUCCUAAAAAAUAAAAUAAAAUUAAUUUUGAUGGAGAUUGCUAUUUAUUAUUUAUUUUAGUAUUAAAGUACUGGAAAUUUUAAUAGUAAUUAUAACCGUACUGUAAAUCGACUCUGAUAAGUGGGUAGAAAAUACUAAAGUUUCGAGAUAAUUUCUCUAAAGGAACUCGGCAAAUUGACUCCGAACCUUUGGAAUUAGGAGGACCCUUAAUAAAUUAUAUUAUUAAGAGGAAUUAUAAAAUUAAGGAGAAGCGACUGUUUAACAAAAACACAGGACUUUGAAAAAUUGUAAAAUGAUUGAUAAAGUCUGACGCCUGCCCGGUGCUACAAAGUGAAGUUAAAGAAUAUAAAAGUUUUUUAUAUAAGCUCUAGCAAACGGCGGCCUUAUAACUGAGGGUCCUAAGGUAGCGAAAUUCCUUGUCGGGUAAAUUCCGACGUGCAUGAAUGGCGUAACGACUUCUUCACUGUCUCUAGAGAAAUCUUGGUGAAAUUGGAUUUUCUGUGAACAUACGGAAAAUUAGCAGGUAGACGGAAAGACCCUGUGCACCUUUACUUCAACCAUAAAUUGGGUUAGUUUUAAUAUUAUCUUUAUUAUGUGGUGGAUUUAUCUUAAGUGUAAUACCACUUAAUAUUAAAAUUAAUUCUUAUUUGUAAAAAGACAUUUUAUGGGUGGUAGUUUGACUGGGGAGGUCUCCUCCAAAAGAGUAACGGAGGAGUGCAAAAAUAAGAAGCAAAAAAACGUAGUUUUUUGUAGAGCGCAAUAGCGAUGUCUUAUUAAUUGAUAAAUUUACAAAUUUGUCAAUAACUUUUUUUGGUUUGUUAUAGUGAUCCGGUAUUUAAUAAGUGGUAUGAAUAUCGCUCAACGGAUAAAAGGUACGCCAGGGAUAACAGGCUAAUAACUUUCAAGAGUUCUUAUCGACGAAGUUGUUUGGCACCUCGAUGUCGGCUCAUCACAUCCUGGGGCUGUAGGUGGUCCCAAGGGUUCGACUGUUCUUCGAUUAAAGUGGUACGUGAGCUGGGUUCAGAACGUCGUGAGACAGUUCGGUCCCUAUCUUCUGCUAUGUUUAGAAGUAAGUAGAAAAGCCUUUUUAGUACGAGAGGAGAAAAGGGCGUUGAUCUAUGGUGUGUCUGUUAUUAUAAAUUUUUUUAUAGUAUAUCGCAGAGUAGCUACAUCAAUAAUUGAAUAAUUUAAUUUAAAGAAUUCAAUUCUAUAUUACUUCUUAUGAGACUGGUUAUAGAUUAUAACUAUAUAGGUUUAAUAUGUAAUAUUCGUGAGAAUUUAAGUAUAUAAAUACUAAAAGUCCAAUUUUUUUAAAAA
rnacentral:rRNA from 1 species